rnacentral:rRNA from 1 species
GAGUAAUAUAUCGGAACGUGCCCAGUAGUGGGGGAUAGCCCGGCGAAAGCCGGAUUAAUACCGCAUACGACCUGAGGGUGAAAGCGGGGGAUCGCAAGACCUCGCGCUACUGGAGCGGCCGAUAUCAGAUUAGCUAGUUGGUGGGGUAAAGGCCUACCAAGGCAACGAUCUGUAGUUGGUCUGAGAGGACGACCAGCCACACUGGGACUGAGACACGGCCCAGACUCCUACGGGAGGCAGCAGUGGGGAAUUUUGGACAAUGGGCGCAAGCCUGAUCCAGCAAUGCCGCGUGCAGGAAGAAGGCCUUCGGGUUGUAAACUGCUUUUGUCAGGGAAGAAAUCUUCUGGGCUAAUACCCCGGGAGGAUGACGGUACCUGAAGAAUAAGCACCGGCUAACUACGUGCCAGCAGCCGCGGUAAUACGUAGGGUGCGAGCGUUAAUCGGAAUUACUGGGCGUAAAGCGUGCGCAGGCGGCUUUGCAAGACAGAGGUGAAAUCCCCGGGCUCAACCCGGGAACUGCCUUUGUGACUGCAAGGCUAGAGUACGGCAGAGGGGGAUGGAAUUCCGCGUGUAGCAGUGAAAUGCGUAGAUAUGCGGAGGACACCGAUGGCGAAGGCAAUCCCCUGGGCCUGUACUGACGCUCAUGCACGA